rnacentral:rRNA from 1 species
UGUGACCUCAAAUCAGGUAGGACUACCCGCUGAACUUAAGCAUAUCAAUAAGCGGAGGAAAAGAAACUAACAAGGAUUCCCCUAGUAACUGCGAGUGAAGCGGGAAAAGCUCAAAUUUAAAAUCUGUCAGUCUUUGGCUGUCCGAGUUGUAAUCUAGAGAAGUGUUAUCCGCGCUGGACCGUGUACAAGUCUCCUGGAAUGGAGCGUCAUAGAGGGUGAGAAUCCCGUCUUUGACACGGACUGCCAGGGCUUUGUGAUGCGCUCUCAAAGAGUCGAGUUGUUUGGGAAUGCAGCUCAAAAUGGGUGGUAAAUUCCAUCUAAAGCUAAAUAUUGGCGAGAGACCGAUAGCGAACAAGUACCGUGAGGGAAAGAUGAAAAGAACUUUGGAAAGAGAGUUAAACAGUACGUGAAAUUGCUGAAAGGGAAACGCUUGAAGUCAGUCGCGUUGUCCAGGGAUCAACCUUGCUUUUGCUUGGUGUACUUUCUGGUUGACGGGUCAGCAUCAAUUUUGACUGUUGGAAAAAGGUCAGGGGAAUGUGGCAUCUCUAAUGAUGUGUUAUAGCCCUUGGUUGCAUACAAUGGUUGGGAUUGAGGAACUCAGCACGCCGCAAGGCCGGG